rnacentral:lncRNA from 1 species
AAUUAUCAUUUUCCUAUUAUUUUACAGGUUCAAAUUGUGAAAAUACAAACCAUCAUCAUCGGACAAUUAGAAAAACUACAAGGAGCAACCAAAAUCAAAACGAAUCGUCACAAAUACCAUAUUAUCCAACAAAAGAGAAGGAAUUGCAGUUAAUUUGGAUGCUACUGAAGCAUAUAUUGCUUUGGAUGUCUUCACUUUGCAACAUUAUGGAGUUAAUUUUAAACUUUCGAGGAGGAGAACUGGAAAUUAGUUUGGAAAUGACUGAAACAGCAGUGGGUUUUCUCUUGGAUUUGGCUUGCCCAUUACACAUGGAGACUUUAAAAUACUAUUUCCUGCGGUUAAUUAAGAUCAUCGAACAAAUGAGUUCAGUUUGGCUAUACUGAAACGGCCAAUGUCUACAUGGGUGUUGUCUUUUCUGGACUUGGUCUUGAUUUGCUAUUUUCGUCUUCACUUCGCAACCUAUGCAGUUAAUUUUCAACCGAUGAGUGGGAGCAACUGGAGACUUAUUUGAACAACAGACUUUCUGCUAUGGUAUUAAGGAUUUGGUUUACUUUUUACAUCUACAAACUUUGAGAGGUUGCAGUCUACAGUUAAUUAAGAUCUACAUUGGAGAAGACAAAGAUGACCCCGCAGUUGAAA